CACGUAGGGGGCGAGCGUUGUCCGGAUCUAUUGGGCGUAAAGAGCUCGUAGGCGGCUCGGUAAGUCAGGUGUGAAAACUCUAGGCUCAACCUAGAGACGCCACCUGAUACUGCCGUGGCUAGAGUCCGGUAGGGGAGCAUGGAAUUCCUGGUGUAGCGGUGAAAUGCGCAGAUAUCAGGAGGAACACCAGUGGCGAAGGCGGUGCUCUGGGCCGGAACUGACGCUGAGGAGCGAAAGCGUGGGGAGCAAACAGG
rnacentral:rRNA from 1 species